CCUACGGGAGGCAGCAGUGAGGAAUAUUGGUCAAUGGACGAGAGUCUGAACCAGCCAAGUAGCGUGAAGGAUGACUGCCCUACGGGUUGUAAACUUCUUUUAUAUGGGAAUAAAACAGGGUAUGCAUACCUCCUUGUAUGUGUCAUAUCAAAAAGGAUAGCCUCACUCCGUGUCAGCAGCCGCGGUAAUACGGAGGAUCCGAGCGUUAUCCGGAUUUAUUGGGUUUAAAGGGGGCGUAGGUGGGUUGUUAAGUCAGUUGUGAAAGUUUGCGGAUCAACCGUAAAAUUGCAGUUGAAACUGGCAGUCUUGAGUGCAGAAAGGGUGGGCGGAAUUCAUGGUGUAGCGGUGAAAUGCUUAGAUAUCACGAAGAACUCCGAUUGCGAAGGCAGGUGACUGGACUGCAACUGACGCUGAUGCUCGAAAGUGUGGGUAUCAAACAGGAUUAGAUACCCCAGUAGUC
rnacentral:rRNA from 1 species